UAAAAUGAACCAAUACCAGCUAAUGUCGUCGGAAGCUACCUAACAGCUAUAUAUAAUAAGGCAGUUCAAAUCAAAUUAAAGGGUCCUGAAUAAUAAUGGGUUAAAAAAUAACAAAGAAAAAUUCCAAACCAUGCGAUAAUGAUCUGAUUUGGUGCACACAGACAAGUUAUGGAUAUUUUUCCUCAUUACAACACUCCUGCUUUUAAUAAUAACAAUAGAACGCAUUGAAUAAAACGCAGUUAAUGGAAUUUUCCUUAAACCAUAAUCGCCUCGUUGAACGUAUAUAAGGCCUCAUGCAGAGUUGAAGACUGUAUUGUUGCAGGGAUAAUAGUCAUCACAGGUAUUGAUAGUCAUAAGAUGGGUGGCAGUCAAUCAACUUCGAAUACAUUCGUGGCGGUUCAAAAUUCCUUUCCACAUGACGUUUACGCUAAGUGCGACUCAGAAACUCCAAAACUGAUUGAAAUGGAUGAGGAUGAGGAAAUGGCUAUUGGAGGUAAAUUAAACGCAAAAGACGAAUCCGGGAUAACUGCAGAAAUGAGGCACAAAGGUCAUCAGAAGUUCUUGGCCAAAAUUAUCAAUAUUGGGUUUUCAACUGUUAAGCCUGGAAAAUACCUUGAAUUCAACGUUCCUGUGAAGAACACAGAAACAGUUUACAUCACGUUAUACGCUAACAACGAGAAUGGCAAAUUGUUUCAUCCACUUUGUGUCAACCUCCCGAAAAAUAUCAAUGCCCAUGUUCUGGUUGAAUACGACGGACAAGUUGUCCAGUCUGAUGAUACAAGUUUGUUUAAACCGAAAGAAUGAAAUAAAUAAGAAACGGUUAAAAAGUGUAAUACAAUGUAAUAAUACUUGUAUUUUACUCUUAAGAAGAAAUAAACACCAAAUUAAUGCAGUUGACGAGUUUGAGCACAGAUAAAAAAAUCUUUAUUCAAAUAACUACAGAUAAAUUUCGAAAUUGCAUUUGUUAUAAAAAAAGUUUUUCCCUGGUUCUGAUUAGUUUUACCAAGACGUGUUAUAUAAGAUAUCAGACAAGAUUAUAAGUUUAAAAAAAAUGCAAUGAACAUUGUAUGAAACAGCUUAAAAACAAUAGAAUAACGAGAAGAAUAUUUUAAUAAUUUAACUUUCAAAUUGUGAUAAUUAUAAAAAUCUGAAUGAAUAAUAAAUAGUUGGAACUGCA